AGUGAACGCUGGCGGUAGGCCUAACACAUGCAAGUCGAACGGCAGCACAGUAAGAGCUUGCUCUUACGGGUGGCGAGUGGCGGACGGGUGAGGAAUACAUCGGAAUCUACUUUUUCGUGGGGGAUAACGUAGGGAAACUUACGCUAAUACCGCAUACGACCUACGGGUGAAAGCAGGGGAUCUUCGGACCUUGCGCGAUUGAAUGAGCCGAUGUCGGAUUAGCUAGUUGGCGGGGUAAAGGCCCACCAAGGCGACGAUCCGUAGCUGGUCUGAGAGGAUGAUCAGCCACACUGGAACUGAGACACGGUCCAGACUCCUACGGGAGGCAGCAGUGGGGAAUAUUGGACAAUGGGCGCAAGCCUGAUCCAGCCAUACCGCGUGGGUGAAGAAGGCCUUCGGGUUGUAAGGCCCUUUUGUUGGGAAAGAAAAGCAGCAGGUUAAUACCCCGCUGUUCGGACGGUACCCAAAGAAUAAGCACCGGCGAACUGCGU
rnacentral:rRNA from 1 species